rnacentral:rRNA from 1 species
UACGAAGGGAGCUAGCGUUGUUCGGAAUCACUGGGCGUAAAGCGCACGUAGGCGGAUUUGUAAGUCAGGGGUGAAAUCCCGGGGGCUCAACCUCGGAACUGCCUUUGAUACUGCAAAUCUCGAGUCCGGAAGAGGUGAGUGGAAUUCCUAGUGUAGAGGUGAAAUUCGUAGAUAUUAGGAAGAACACCAGUGGCGAAGGCGGCUCACUGGUCCGGUACUGACGCUGAGGUGCGAAAGCGUGGGGAGCAAACAGG